GGUUAAGCGACUAAGCGUACACGGUGGAUGCCCUGGCAGUCAGAGGCGAUGAAGGACGUGCUAAUCUCCGCUAACCGCCGGUGGGGUAAUUGAACCCGUAUAAACGGCCUUUUUCCAAUUGGGGAACCCAAGGGCGUUUCAAAAAACUAUCUUAACCUGAAUCAAUAGGUUAAUGAGGCGAACCGGGG
rnacentral:rRNA from 1 species